CUUCCCUGCCCCGGUUUGAUUCGUGGUGCGCCUCCGCCUAUUCCCGGUCGUGUCCCAGGUAUACCCGGUUAAGUCCCAGGUGUGCACCUCAAUCACCUCAAAGCCAUUAAAGAAAGAACGCCAGGAUGGUUCUAAAAAGCUGAAGUGGCUGCAUGAAGCUGGAUUUUCACCAAAGGCCAUGAGUUCAUGUUUUUAAGUGUUUACUGCAAGUUAUUUUGACAGAAGUUGGUGAAACUCUGCAUAAAGAACCUCUUUGGUGACAAAUUGUUUUCUAACGUUUCAAUUUCAGGACAAAAAUGGCAAGAAGGUGUUAAAGAUUGGUGCUGGAAUAUUAAAUAUUAUGCAGACAUAACCAUGUGGAUCCAAUUCACCUUGAUAAUUAUCCCAUUUUCAGAUACUUUCAGAUAAACCACAGGCUUGUCAUACUUAAUAAACCAGAUAUUCCCUCAUGAUUAAA